CGCGAAUGGCUCAUUACAACAGCUAAAAUUUACUCGAUCUUGACACAAUCCUACUUGGAUAACUGUGGUAAUUCUAGAGCUAAUACAUGCAUUAAAGCUCUGACCUUCGGGGAAGAGUGCAUUUAUUAGAACAAAACCAAGCGGCUUCGGCUGUUUCGGUUGACUCAUAGUAACUGAGCUGAUCGCAUGGUCUUGCACCGGCGACGUGUCGUUCAAGUAUCUGCCGUAUCAACUUUCGAUGGUAGUGUAUCUGACUACCAUGGUGAUCACGCGUAACGGAGAAUAAGGGUUCGACUCCGGAGAGUUCGCCUGAGAAAUCGCGAACACAUCUAAGGAAGGCAGCAGGCGCGAAAAUUACCCACUCUCAGCACGAGGAGGUAGUGACGAAAAAUAACGAGACCGUUCUCUUAUGAGGCCGGUCAUCGGAAUGGGUACAAUUUAAACCCUUUAACGAGUAUCUAUGAGAGGGCAAGUCUGGUGCCAGCAGCCGCGGUAAUUCCAGCU
rnacentral:rRNA from 1 species